UUCUUGGUCAUGAUGUUUGUGCAGGAAUAGAAACCCUGACUAAGACAAAUUGGUACCAGCAGAGUGGGGUAUUCCUGUGACAACCUGACCAUGUUUUGGGGAGGACUGUGGAAGGACUUUGGAACUUUGGGCUUGAAGAUCCAUCCUUUGUUAAGAGCUCUGUCAGAUGUUGUGUAGGAGCUUGGAAGAUAAUGUUGAGAACAGUGCAGAAAAUGGAGGCCUGGCUUGUGAAAUUUUAGAGGGAAAAUUAAAAGACUCUUUUCAGGACCAUUGUUACUUUGUGAAGAUUCUGUGGUUCCGGUUAGCUGGGGCUGAAGAAUCAGCUGUGAUUAACAAGAUACCAGAACUAGUAAAGUGAAAACUUUGUAUUACUGGGACUAUUGAUGCUGGUUAGCUGGAGCCAAGAAAUUAGCAGUGAUUAAGAAGAGACCAGCAUCCUUCAUUGAGGUGACAUCUUCUGGGAAGUGUUUUUUGAGAGCACAGAGGCUGUGUUCCAGAGAUAACCAAGGUUGUAUCUCGUGCUACAGUGGGACUUGGUAAUGUGUAAGAGUCACCCAGAUGGUACUGGUUUUGACGGCAUGAAGGGGUCACGCAGAGCAGCUGAGGCUUAGCACUGUGAGAGGCCACGGAAGACCGUUGGUGAAAGUAAAGCCUCAGAUGCAAUUGACGGCCCAGGACUGAAGGGGUCAUGCAGUGUUUUGGAGAUGCCAGUACCAUGAGAUGACCACCAAGAGCAGCAGCAGUGGAGUACAGGCAUCUGGAGCCUAGAGGACGACUCGUGUGCUUCAAAGGGCAUGGCUGGAGAAGUGACCCAAGCCCUUGGAGGAGCCCAGAAGAUCGUGAGUUGGAUCCCAGACAUUGGACGGUUGGAGAUUGAUUUUUGCUUUUGAUUGUGACUGUGCCCUGAUAUUUUCCCUCUUGAAGGAAGAAACUAUUUAGUGGAGCCCACAGUUAAGAGACUUUUAAUUGUGAAGAAGACUUUGGAUUUUAAAAGAGAUGGAUAUUUUAAAGAGAUUGAAAAUUUAAGAAUAUGUAAAGACUGUGGGAUGUUUAAAGUUAUUUAGAUCUUGGGAAUGAAUAAGAAUGUAAGGGUUGAGGCUUACUAGUGAUGUGUUUGUGUGUCAAGUUGACAAGGGGUCAAUUGUACUGGCUAGUUUUGUGUCAACUUGACACAGCUGGAGUUAUCACAGAGAAAGGAGCUUCAGUUGAGGAAAUGCCUCCAUGAGACCCAGCUGUAAGGCAUUUUCUCAACUAGUGAUCAUGGGGGAAAGGCCCCUUGUGGGCGGGACCAUCUCUGGGCUGGUAGUCUUGGUUCUAUAAGAGAGCAGGCUGAGCAAGCCAGAAAAAGCAAGCCAGUAAAGAACAACCCCCCAUGGCCUCUGCAUCAGCUCCUGCUCCCUGCCCUGCUUGAGUUCCAGUCCUGACUUCCUUGAUGAUGAACAGCAGUGUGGAAGUGUAAGCUGAAUAAACCCUUUCCUCCCCAACUUGCUUCUUGGUCCUGAUGUUUGUGCAGGAAUAGAAACCCUGACCAAGACAGCCCUCAUUGCAGGAGGUUCCAAGAUGUUCAGAUUAAAAAUAUAUACACAUUUGAGUUAAUACAAAGUCCAGAGCAGCCUCAAGGAAGAUUGUGCAAUGUUUCUUGUGUUUUGCAAACUGCGCCUAAGGAAGUUCUUGAAACUUCACCCCUCCCUGACUUCAGGGGGGAUUUCUUUUUAGCUAAACAACAUUUCUUUCAGAUCUACCCAGGAGUUGUUCAUAAUAAAGUUUAAAUUCAAGAUUUAUAAAAGGUUAACCAGGCUGUAGAUCUUAUAAAGGCAUUACAAGAUAGCUUGCCUACUUCAUAUAAAAUUAUUAUAGAUUUGAAAGUUUAUUUUUUUUCCUUUGCAUCCUGUUAAUUGUAAAAAGUUUGCUUCUAGUGAACUGGUAACCAUUAAAAAGUUUUACCCCUAGGUAUGGCUAAUAGUCUUACAUUUUGUAAGAAAUUUUUAUUGUCUAGGCUUCAAAAAGCUAAGACUUUGAAUCUUUCAGUGUAUAUUGUUUCCUAAGUGGAAAGUAAUUUAUUAGCUAAUGCCUCUAAAGGGAAGUUUACUUCAAAUCUUUGUUUUCACACAAUGAGCUUUAAAGUUCUGGGGAGUGGUUGUUGCUCCAUAAGAUUCAGAGGCAAUAUCUUUUUUAAUAUUUAGGGUUUUAGUGAUACUAGAAAAUUGUGGUACAGAAAAUCUAAGAAAGAAAAAUUUAUUUGCUUCAAAAUUUAAUUUUCAAAAGCUUCUAGGAGAUGUUAAUUGGCUAAGACCUUACCUUAAACUCACCACAGGAGAACUUAAGCCUUUGUUAGGCGCUAUCAAGUGAGAUUCAAAUUAACUGGUGAGAAACAAAAAGGCUUUACAAAAAGCAGAAGAAACUUCUGUGAUCAAUUGUUAUCAAUUAUGAUCAAUGGUAAUCAAAUAUUAGCUGCUUAUUCUAGUUAUUGUUAUGAGCCCACAGCAGAGAAAAAAAUCAAUUGCUACUUAUUUCUGAUUAAUAAAUAAAUAAAAUAUGCACAUGUGACUAUUU
rnacentral:lncRNA from 1 species